UACGGAGGGUGCAAGCGUUAUCCGGAUUCACUGGGUUUAAAGGGUGCGUAGGUGGGCAGGUAAGUCAGUGGUGAAAUCUCCGGGCUUAACCCGGAAACUGCCGUUGAUACUAUUUGUCUUGAAUAUUGUGGAGGUAAGCGGAAUAUGUCAUGUAGCGGUGAAAUGCUUAGAUAUGACAUAGAACACCAAUUGCGAAGGCAGCUCACUACCCAAACAUUGACCCUGAGGCACGAAAGCGUGGGGAUCAAACAGG
rnacentral:rRNA from 1 species